CCUACGGGUGGCUGCAGUGAGGAAUAUUGGUCAAUGGACGAGAGUCUGAACCAGCCAAGUAGCGUGAAGGAUGACUGCCCUAUGGGUUGUAAACUUCUUUUAUAUGGGAAUAAAACGUUCCACGUGUGGGAUUUUGUAUGUACCAUAUGAAUAAGGAUCGGCUAACUCCGUGCCAGCAGCCGCGGUAAUACGGAGGAUGCGAGCGUUAUCCGGAUUUAUUGGGUUUAAAGGGUGCGUAGGCGGUCCGGAAAGUCAGCGGUAAAAGCCCGGGGCUCAACCCCGGCGAGCCGUUGAAACUGUCGGACUAGAGACGGCGAGAAGUACGCGGAAUGCGCGGUGUAGCGGUGAAAUGCAUAGAUAUCGCGCAGAACUCCGAUUGCGAAGGCAGCGUACCGGCGCCGGACUGACGCUGAGGCACGAAAGCGUGGGUAUCGAACAGGAUUAGAUACCCGGGUAGUC
rnacentral:rRNA from 1 species